rnacentral:rRNA from 1 species
GAUGAACGCUAGCGAUAGGCCUAACACAUGCAAGUCGAGGGGCAUCACAUGAAGUAGCAAUACGGAUGGUGGCGACCGGCGCACGGGUGAGUAACACGUAUGCAACCUGCCUUCAACAAGGGGAUAACCCGUUGAAAGACGGACUAAUACCCUAUAACACAGGGGUCCCGCAUGGGAAUAUUUGUUAAAGGACAACCGGUUGAAGAUGGGCAUGCGUUCCAUUAGCUAGUUGGCGGGGUAACGGCCCACCAAGGCAACGAUGGAUAGGGGAACUGAGAGGUUUAUCCCCCACACUGGUACUGAGACACGGACCAGACUCCUACGGGAGGCAGCAGUGAGGAAUAUUGGUCAAUGGACGCAAGUCUGAACCAGCCACGUCGCGUGAAGGAAGACGGCCCUACGGGUUGUAAACUUCUUUUGCAAGGGAAUAAAGUGCCCCACGCGUGGGGUUUGCAUGUACCGUAUGAAUAAGGAUCGGCUAACUCCGUG